rnacentral:rRNA from 1 species
UACGGAGGAUCCAAGCGUUAUCCGGAAUCAUUGGGUUUAAAGGGUCCGUAGGCGGUUUUAUAAGUCAGUGGUGAAAUCCGGUAGCUCAACUAUCGAACGGCCAUUGAUACUGUAGAACUUGAAUUAUUGUGAAGUAACUAGAAUAUGUAGUGUAGCGGUGAAAUGCUUAGAUAUUACAUGGAAUACCAAUUGCGAAGGCAGGUCACUAACAGUACAUUGACGCUGAUGGACGAAAGCGUGGGGAGCGAACAGG